rnacentral:lncRNA from 1 species
UUAAACACAACACAUAUACCAUCACAAAUCACCUACAAAAACUUGGUGGGUGUUCUAAUCGAGGUUCGAUCAAGAUUUUGCGGUAUUCAACUUUUCCUUAUCUCUUUAAUUUAUUUAUGGAAUUUGAUGUAAUUUUAUGACAAGUUUUCUUAUAUUAUGUUUCAUUCAAGAAUUUGAUUGAAAUGAUUAAUUUGUUAGUUGUUAUAUCUCUAUUUCAUGAAUAAAGGUAGC